UCAAUGCAAAAUCAUGCUGCCGUGUUCCGUGUGGGAAGCGUGUUGCAGGAAGGUCACCCUGGAAUAUAGACCCGUAAUCGACAAAACUUUGAACGAGGCUGACUGUGCCACCGUCCCCCCAGCCAUUCGCUCCUACUGAUGAGACAAGAUGCGGUGAUGACAGAAUCAGCUUUUGUAAUUAUGUAUAAUAGCUCAUGCAUGUGUCCGUGUCAUAACUGUCUUCAUACGCUUCUGCACUCCGGGGAAGGAGGAGUACAUUGAAGGGAGAUUGGCACCCAGGCUGGGAGCUUGCCAGGAACCCAGUGGCCAGGGAGUGUGGCACUUACCUUUGUCCCUUGCUUCAUUCUUGUGAGAUGAUAAAAUUGGGCGCAGCUCUUAAAUAUAAAUGAACAAA
rnacentral:sRNA from 1 species